rnacentral:rRNA from 1 species
UGAGGGAUAUUGGUCAAUGGGCGAAAGCCUGAACCAGCGACGCCGCGUGGGUGAAGAAGGUCUUCGGAUCGUAAAGCCCUUUUCUGUGGGAAGAGUAAAAGGACGGUACCACAGGAAGAAGUCUCGGCUAACUACGUGCCAGCAGCCGCGGUAAAACGUAGGAGACAAGCGUUAUCCGGAGUUACUGGGCGUAAAGGGCGUGCAGGUGGUGGAGUAAGUCUGUUGUGAAAGCGCCUGGCUUAACCGGGCGAGGCCAAUGGAGACUGCUCGACUGGAGGGCGGUAGAGGGGUGUGGAAUUCCGGGUGUAGUGGUGAAAUGCGUAGAGAUCCGGAGGAACACCAGAGGCGAAGGCGGCACCCUAAGCCGUACCUGACACUGAGACGCGACAGCACGGGGAGCAAACGGGAUUAGAAACCCCGGUAGUCCGUGCCGUAAACGAUGCCAGCUAGACGUUCGGGUUCCGAGAGGGAUCCGGGUGUCGCAGUCAACGCGAUAAGCUGGCCGCCUGGGGGAGUAC